rnacentral:rRNA from 1 species
UGAGAGUUUGAUCCUGGCUCAGAACGAACGCUGGCGGCAGGCUUAACACAUGCAAGUCGAGCGGGCAUAGCAAUAUGUCAGCGGCAGACGGGUGAGUAACGCGUGGGAACGUACCUUUUGGUUCGGAACAACACAGGGAAACUUGUGCUAAUACCGGAUAAGCCCUUACGGGGAAAGAUUUAUCGCCGAAAGAUCGGCCCGCGUCUGAUUAGCUAGUUGGUGAGGUAAAGGCUCACCAAGGCGACGAUCAGUAGCUGGUCUGAGAGGAUGAUCAGCCACAUUGGGACUGAGACACGGCCCAAACUCCUACGGGAGGCAGCAGUGGGGAAUAUUGGACAAUGGGCGAAAGCCUGAUCCAGCAAUGCCGCGUGAGUGAUGAAGGCCUUAGGGUUGUAAAGCUCUUUUACCCGGGAUGAUAAUGACAGUACCGGGAGAAUAAGCUCCGGCUAACUUCGUGCCAGCAGCCGCGGUAAUACGAGGGGAGCUAGCGUUGUUCGGAAUUACUGGGCGUAAAGCGCGCGUAGGCGGUUUUUUAAGUCAGAGGUGAAAGCCCGGGGCUCAACCCCGGAAUAGCCUUUGAAACUGGAAAACUAGAAUCUUGGAGAGGUGAGUGGAAUUCCGAGUGUAGAGGUGAAAUUCGUAGAUAUUCGGAGGAACACCAGUGGCGAAGGCGACACACUGGCUCAUUACUGACGCUGAGGCUCGAAAGCGUGGGGAGCAAACAGGAUUAGAUACCCUGGUAGUCCACGC